rnacentral:misc_RNA from 1 species
AAUGUCGUAACAAGGUUUCCGUAGGUGAACCUGCGGAAGGAUCAUUAAAGAAUACCUGGACUCCGGGUCCUCGUCGAGAAAGGUCGUCCGGGUGGCCUCCAGGUCCCGGGCGUCCCUCCUUCCUUCCUUCGUUACUCUACCUCUGUUUGGCUUUGGCACAGCUCCUGGCCGGUUCGGGCUUGCCGGUCUUGGGCCGUCUGGCCCGGAAGGCCCUAACUCGUGGAUAGUCUAUGUUUGUCUGAGUACGAUAUAAUUCGUUUACAAC